ensembl:lncRNA
CUCCGGCUUAAAUCACUGCUGAGUUUUUGCAAAGCACUCUGCUCGGAGGGUCCCAGAUCUGUAUAUAAUGUUUAAAUAUUAAUUGGGAAACAGCCGGCAGCGCAGGUGUUCUUCCUCCUCUCCCUUCCCAUGCCUCCCUCGUGGGGCUGCUCUCCUCCGACUCACCGAGUAUUUCCGACAGCAUUCGGCUGCACGCAGUCAGCUGGGAGGGCUGCAGGACGUGCGUCUGAGCACAAAGGAAAUGUGCAAAGGUAGGGACAGGGAAGAGCUUGCUCUGAGCUCCGGUGUGGCUCCUGAGCCCUCUGCACUGUGCCUGCGAAUGCUCUCAGUGACCCAGGUGUGCAAAAAUGGGAACAUCCUGGCUGCACCUAACAGAGCUGCUUGUCUGGAUAAAGUAAUCACAGUUCCACUGAUCAGAACCAGCAUGAUUAUAAUUGUAUAGCAUUGGAGAACAAUUGAAUGGCUUGGAUUGGAAAGGACCUUGAAGAUCAUAAAACUGUGGAGAGGUUGGAUUGGAAGGAUUCUUAAAGAUCACAGAACCGUGGAAUGGUUGGGUUGGAAGGACCUUAAAGAUCAUGGAACUGUAGGAUGGUUGGGUUGGAAGGGACUUCAAAGGUGCUCACCUUAAAUAUCGGGGUGAUGCUCUGUGGGUGCGUGGUAGAGGAGUCAUGCAUCGAUCUGACACUGAUGAAAAGGGCCAUCACCUAUGUGGAGUAUCAGUAUAUCCACCCAUAAAUUGUUAACUGAAUAUCAAUAUAUCAACGCGCAAACUGUCAGCAACACUUGCAUGGGCAAUUACUGCAGGGCAGAGCCCACGUACCACUGCAGAGUGGAUUCCCACUCUGCCUGAACCCGGCCCCAGUGCUUGGGCUCAGCAUCCCAUUUCACCCUGUCCAGGGUCACCGUUGGCCCCAACCUCCUGCAGGAAGAAGCAGCAUCCCUGGGGGAGCAGCCCUGUGGCUCCAGCACACGGAGCUGCUUCAACACUGGGAAAGCCGCAUGCGCUCCCCUCCGGGCUGAUAUCUGAGCGUGCUUGGAGCAAGGCUGCACUGGGAGGGAUGGAUUCCAGAUGUUCGCGUGUCACGUGGGAGCGGUUGGUUUUACAAGCAAGAGAGUUCCCUGAGUAUCUGAUUUUGGCAGCGAUCUCCACUUUUGUCUAAAGAGAAACUGCACAGGAAGUUAGAAAGCACGAGACAAGCGGUAUUCUUGGGUCCUGUGCUUUUCCCAUGUUUGACAAGCUCUGGCCCUGCAUGUGGUCAUCCAGGAGCAAGUUAGAAUCAUAGAAUCAUAGAAUCACAGACUCAUAGAAUCAUAGAAUCAUUAAGGCUGGAGAAGACUUCUAAGAUCCCCAAAUCCCAGUCCCAGCCCACCCCCCCAUGUCCACUGCCCACGUCCCUCAGUGCCACAUCUCCACAGCUCUGGGACACCCCUAAGGAUGAUGACCCCCACUCCCUGGCAGCUGUGCCACUGCCUGACUGCUCUUUGGAGAAGGAAUUGUUCCUCAUAUCCAACCUGAACCCAGCUUGAGUUAGAGCCAGCUGGUGCCCAGCCCACACCAUUGCUUCCCUGGAGCCCAUCAGCUGCUGCAAGCAGUCAGCGGUGUGGACAAAACAAAGCAGCAGGAGCUUGCUUCAUAGAAAUGGGGCUUGUAGCCCUGAAGGGGCCCUCGUGAGAAAUGCACGUUAACCAAGCAAUUCUUCUCUCUGCAUUUAUGUAACGUUAGCUGUAAUAUGAGACAUUAAAAAAAAAUCAAUUAUUUGACAAAGAAAUAAACCUAGGAGAAUAAUGUUUGCUCAAUAUAUCACUUCCUUGAAUGAAAUUCACUUUGCCAGGGCCAAGGCAUUAAAAAUACAUUAAAAUAUUUCAAUAUAAAUAGAAUGAGUGGGUUUUACAUUCUUCCCAAACCGCAAAUUCGUAACUUCAUUUGCAUAGGAACUUCUGAGUUCUUUGAUCACUAUUGUAACUGAGCGUACAUAAAAGGAGUGUGCAGAAAAUAAAUGCAGAAAAGUAGAACUGUGGAAAGGAAAAAUGUCAACUGUGGAUAACAGAAACUAGAGACAGUGCAGCAAUGCACAGGUCAGGGCUGACUGCUCUUCACAGCAUGGUUCUGGAUGUUGUGCAGCACUGUCCUGAUGUUGUGUAGGCUUCGAGCUCUUGGCUGUGUCACGCUCCCAGGACAGCCCCAGGUAAAUGGGGUGUGGAGAAACUGCACUGUAGAGCAGCUUUGGGCAAGGCUGAUUCUGGCUGCUGGGCUGUUUGCAUGCACUGUAGGGUAAUGUCAGUGGUGUAAAUGCUGCACAGCUGGGAUUGAAAAUGCCUCACGUAUGGAAACGUGAGUGAUGAUUGGCAGCAUUGGCAGAACAGAAAAAUAAACCUUCUGGUUCCUCAUUUGUGGGAAGAUGGGCCAGAUCUGCUCUUUGGAUUCCUGUACCUGCAUUGGGUAUGAACAGGAGCAGCAGUUUUUUGUUGGAGAGGAAUGGGUCUUGCACAGAGAUGUCUUCUGUGUAAUUCCUUCAAAGGCAAAAGAGUUUCUCAACCACAUCCUUUGCUGGUGAAGAUCACCAAACCUUUUGUAAAUGGUGUGUGCUGGUGAGGUGCAGCCUCUGAGCAUCCCUGCUGCUCCAUCCGCCCCUCUGAGUUACGUGAAGACUAUAAAAUGCAGCCACCAUUCUCUACACUGCACUUGAUUUGCAUUCUAUGAAUGUAUUGUAAAAACUGCUGUAUGGGAAUAGAGUUAUGCUCAGAAAUGGCACGCCUGGGACCCAGGAUGGCAGGUGUAUGGAAGGGGAGUGACUGUGCCAGAGUGGGACCCCUUGCCAACCCAUGUCGCUGUGCAGCACCUUCCAUUGCGGUAUCACCUCCGUCAUGGUAGCAUCUUCCACCAUGAUAGCACCUUCCAUCGUGGUAGCAUGUCCAUCGUGGUAGCAUCUUCCAUCAUGAUAGCACCUUCCGUCCUGGUAGCGCCUUCCAUCAUGAGAGCACCUUCCAUCUUGGUGUUGGCGAAUAUCAG